rnacentral:rRNA from 1 species
AGUGGACGCCGGCGGCGUGCUUAACACAUGCAAGUCGAACGAGAACGGAAUAUAGCUUGCUAUAUUUGUCAGCUAAGUGGCGCACGGGUGAGUAAUGUAUAGAUAACCUGCCCUUAAGAAAGGAAUAACAGUUGGAAACGACUGCUAAUGCCCUAUAUGCCUUUAAUACAUAAGUAUGCAAGGGAAACGCUUUAGUGCUUAAGGAUGGGUCUGUAUGGUAUCAGCUUGUUGGUGAGGUAAUGGCUCACCAAGGCUAUGACGCCUAACUGGUUUGAGAGGAUGAUCAGUCACACUGGAACUGAGACACGGUCCAGACUCCUACGGGAGGCAGCAGUGGGGAAUAUUGCACAAUGGACGAAAGUCUGAUGCAGCAACGCCGCGUGGAGGAUGACACAUUUCGGUGCGUAAACUCCUUUUAUAUAGGAAGAUAAUGACGGUACUAUAUGAAUAAGCACCGGCUAACUCCGUGCCAGCCGCCGCAGUAA